GGGGAAUUUUGGACAAUGGGGGCAACCCUGAUCCAGCCAUGCCGCGUGAGUGAAGAAGGCCUUCGGGUUGUAAAGCUCUUUCGGCCGGGAAGAAAUCGCACGGGCUAAUACCCUGUGUGGAUGACGGUACCGGAACAAGAAGCACCGGCUAACUACGUGCCAGCAGCCGCGGUAAUACGUAGGGUGCGAGCGUUAAUCGGAAUUACUGGGCGUAAAGCGUGCGCAGGCGGUUUGAUAAGACAGGCGUGAAAUCCCCGGGCUUAACCUGGGAACUGCGUUUGUGACUGUCUCACUAGAGUACGGCAGAGGGGGGUGGAAUUCCACGUGUAGCAGUGAAAUGCGUAGAGAUGUGGAGGAACACCGAUGGCGAAGGCAGCCCCCUGGGCCGAUACUGACGCUCAUGCACGAAAGCGUGGGGAGCAAAC
rnacentral:rRNA from 1 species